CAAGGUUUUCCUUAGGUGAACCUGCGGAAGGAUCAUUG
rnacentral:rRNA from 1 species